AUGCACAUCAGUGAACACCAGCACAGUGAAAGCUUCUGGGAAACAAAAUCAAAGCAAGUUUCAGCUGAGAAGAUAUUGAGUGUCUGUUUUCACAGAACUUCAGCCCAAGAAUUGCAGAAAAUUCUGCCUCCUUAGCACAUAGAGGAAGCUACUCUCUUAUUGGUACCCUACAUCUGCCUCCAGGACAACUAAAGAUUAAGGAGAUCCUUGGACACCUGAUGAGAUUUGUGAGUUGAACUCAGCAUGCUUGAGCAUCUCAGUUUGGAACACUAAAAGCAGACACUUGUGCUGUAUGUACAGAGUACAAUAAAGCCGAAAUCAAUCUAAGGUGACUAUAAGCAUGCGAGAUCUUCAGUUGUAGCGUGUGGGAUUUAGUUCUCUGACCAGGGAUUGAAUCUAGUCUGCAUUGGGAGCGUGAAGUCUUAGCCACUGAACCACGAGGGACAUUCCUAAAAUGUUAUUUGUGGGUGUGUCUGUAAGAGUGUCUCUGGGAGAGGGGGACUGGCAUUUGAUAGACUGAAUAAAGAUUUCUCUCAACAAUGCAGGAGAGCAUCAUCCAACCAUGCAAGCUAAUUC
ensembl:lncRNA